GCCUGUUUCUCGUUUCAUUUUUGUCAAAAUUUGGACUAGUUCAGUUACCGAAUACGAAGCGAAAAUUUGAUAUAAGUUUUUUUCUGAUUAUUUGAUGCAGUAGUCUUACAUGUGGUGUUCAGGAGGGAAAUGAGAGAGAUCUAGUCUAAUUGCAUUGUGCUCGGCUAUGUAAAUAUGCAUGUCAAUUAUUCUAAAGUUGACCCUAAAUCUGAUAUCUUUCUCGUAGCGCUUCCUGGAACUCAGCAAUAAGUUGUAAUGUCACCAUACGCAGUAUACUUUUACUUCUACUUCUACUGAUUCACUAAUAAAGAGAAGC